UACGUAGGGUGCAAGCGUUACUCGGAAUUACUGGGCGUAAAGCGUGCGCAGGCGGUUUUGUAAGUCUGAUGUGAAAUCCCCGGGCUCAACCUGGGAAUUGCAUUGGAGACUGCAAGGCUAGAAUCUGGCAGAGGGGGGUAGAAUUCCACGUGUAGCAGUGAAAUGCGUAGAGAUGUGGAGGAACACCGAUGGCGAAGGCAGCCCCCUGGGUCAAGAUUGACGCUCAUGCACGAAAGCGUGGGGAGCAAACAGG
rnacentral:rRNA from 1 species